rnacentral:rRNA from 1 species
UACAGAGGUCCCAAGCGAUGUUCGGAUUUACUGGGCGUAAAGGGUGCGUAGGUGGCUGGGUAAGUUUGAGGUGAAAGCUCCGGGCUUAACCCGGAAAUUGCCUUGAAUACUAUUUGGCUAGAGGGUUGGAGGGGAGAUUGGAAUUCUCGGUGUAGCAGUGAAAUGCGUAGAUAUCGAGAGGAACACCAGUGGCGAAGGCGAAUCUCUGGACAACAUCUGACACUGAGGCACGAAAGCCAAGGGAGCAAACGGG